AUUGAACGCUGGCGGCAGGCCUAACACAUGCAAGUCGAGCGAGCGGCGGACGGGUGAGAAAUGUCUGUGAAACUGCCUGAUGUAGGGGGAUAACUACUGGAAACGGUAUCUAAUAUCGCAUACCAUCGGAUGUGCCCAGAUGGGAUUAGCUAGUAGGUGUGGUAAAGGCUCACCUAGGCGACGAUCCCUAGCGGGUCUGAGAGGAUGACCAGCCACACUGGAACUGAGAAACGGUCCAGACUCCUACGGGAGGCAGCAGUGGGGAAUAUUGCACAAUGGGCGCAAGCCUGAUGCAGCCAUGCCGAGUGUAUGAAGAAGGCCUGCGGGUUGUAAAGUACUUUCAGCGGGGAGGCGUUACCCGCAGAAGAAGCACCGGCUAACUCCGUGCCAGCAGCCGCGGUAAUUC
rnacentral:rRNA from 1 species